ensembl:lncRNA
UAUUGAACGUUCUACAUCUUACAGUAAAUAUUAUACAAUUACAAACUUGGCUUAAUUCUGUCACUGAGAUCACUAAUUGAUCUUCAAAAAAUAAAAACCCAUGAAAAGAAUAAAAACAGAUUUACACUUCACAUCACAGGCCUGAAACGGGUCUCGUCGCCUCAUAAGAGCAUUCAGUUCAGUUUUACUGAUAAGUGUGUAAAACCUGCUACAAAACAGAUGAGUAUAUAAUGUUUUACUGACAUAAUGAUCAAAAUGUUGUAAUCCUUAGUGUGUUUUUGGAAGACGGUGAUAUUCCCCUUCAGUGGUCAGUUUUAAUAGCAAAAGAAAACACAGCAGACUAAGCAUAUGCUGAUAAUCAGUUAGAUGAUGGAUCAAUAAAUGUAAAGAUUGUGAUACAUCAUGGACAGAGUAAAACUGUGUCACUAUUCAGGAGUCUGCCUAGGCAGGUAGCAUUUUUGGGCAGUGUUUGCUCUCCUAAGAUAAAGUCUUAUUUGAAAGGCAAGUUUCCUUGUUUUGGAAAAAGAAAGAAAGAAAGAAAGAAAGAAGGUGCAUCAUAUGCAUCCUUUUCAGUUAAGGAGGCAAUCAUAUGUUUCGGUUCUCUGAGUAAGAGUAAACAUGAAACGAUGCUAUAACCUUUAAUUUCACUACAUGCAACAAUUCCUAAUCCAUAACAUUUUUAUUUUUAUGUUUUCAGUACAGUAUGAAGGCCAUUUUUUUUUUUUUUUUUUUUUUAAAUUUACAGACUUUUUUUUGUUUAAAUAGAAAAAUCCCCUUUCAUGUUCUUCCGUCUGAUAAUUUAACAGUACCACAAUUUACUUGAAGCAGGCCAUUAUAAAGACAGAAAAGCAAGAGUAAGCAAGAGGAAGAGACCGUUUACAGACCUGUGCUCUGAAAUGUCCCUCACAUAGUUACACACCACACUCCUGAUCAUUUACUUAAGAAUAAAAGGAACAUCAAUCAUUAAUAAAAACUUAAAUAACACUUAUGGUAGAAAGCGCAUAAUUACAGGUAAGUGUGGAAUCGUUUACUUUUAAAUCUAACCAACUUACGUUAGUGUAAAAAUAGCAACAAAAACACUUAUAAAUCCUACAUUUUCGAUUUGAGAGGUUCGACCUCCAUCUCAGAAACAACCUUGACCAGUGAACUGAUUAAUAACUUUAAAUUGCAUUGAUUGCAUUAAGUCUUGCAUUACAAAUCUGAUUUGUUCUAAUUAUAUCAAUAUUUCAUUGCCUGCCAUAAUACUGUUAUUAAGACUAGAUGGAUAAACAGACUUAAUAUUUAAUACAAAGGAGAAAGUGACAGAAAGAAAGACCAAGGUAUAUUUGAAAUAUUUACAGUGCCCUCCAGACAUACUAGCCUUCAAAAAAUAAGCAAAGAAAAGAUCAUAGAGUAUAAAUAUUACAAUAUUUCAAAUUUCCUACUCAAACAACAGGAGAAACUAUGCAUCCUUUUUCUAACAUAAAUCACUCAUUAGAACUAUUUUUUUAAUAAUAGUAUUUUUUUUUUUCCUCAAGAAUUUAUGUACCAAAAUUAGUGACAACCCUGAGGAAUAAUUUAAAUAAAUGCCUCUAUAAGUUUCUCCAACUUUGUUAGACAUUACAAGAGACUCAGUGUUAUUAUUCUCUCCAGACAAGGUGUCACAGAAUAUUAAUUGUAAAUGUGCCAAUAAUUUUGAAACCAGUAUUUUGCAGAAAAAAAAUUGCACCAAUAAAUAAAAUGUUCUGUUUGAAAACAAAACAUGUUUAAAUAAAGGAUUCAAAUUAAUGAGCUCUCGAUGAUAGGGUGAUGCUUUUGUGUUGCACCACUCUGGGGUGCCAAUAAUUCUGGAGGGCACUUAAGUACUUAAUACUAGGACAACAUUGUGAAACACUAGUCUUUAGGCCAAAUUUAUUUUAGAAUAGAAUAAAAAAAGAGAAGAAGAUGCUUUUAUCCAUCUAUUAAAUAUAGAGGAUUCUAGAUGGUUCUAAUGCAGUUUACUUAAAAGUUAAAAUUUUCAUAUAUCUGUGGUGAUACCGGAAAACUUGUAAGUUGUUGUUAAUCAUCAGUUGUCCCAAUUCAACUAUUCAAGUUUUUCUUUCUAUAUUUAAGACUUUGCUUAAAUAAUAUUCAAACAUUCCUCACCAAACGCCUUUUGUUUAUUUUCCAUCUAAACUUGUCUGUUAGUGUUAGUAGCAUUAGCAUCUGCCUGUAGUCUAUCCUGUAGCUUAGUGAUGCUCAUUCAGCAACUGUUUGUGAGAUAAAAUAUUAUUUACUUAACUGGUAGGACAUGGAGAAAAGUGGAUUUAAUAUGACGUAAUCAAGUAUCAUUUUUCACUACAAUUAAUAAUUUGUCCUGUCUGUGAUGGCAUAUGGGUUUGUGUGAUUGACAGAUGUAAUACAGAGAAAUAAUGAACAGAAAUGAAAAACAAAAACAUUUCAUUUUAAAAGGCUACAACCACUUUGACAUGUCAUGUAAUGUAAUAAACUGCCUUGCAUAAGUAUUUAUUCACAUUAUGCCAGCUACACAAAACAGCCCAUGCUACUGAAGCAGGGAAAAUUACUCAGGUUUAAGGGCAAUAUGGAUGGAGCCAAAUACAGGGCAAUCUGAGAAGAAAUGUGUUUCUGUUUGUAAGAGACUUGAGACUGGGCCAGAGGUGUAAGCUCCAAACAGGAUAAUGAACUUAUGCUUACUACCAUUCUAACUUUAGUGGAAUAGUAAAAAACUAAAAACCUGAACGUUUUAGAAUGUCCCAGUCAAAGCCCUCAAAGUCAAAGACCUCAAUCUGAUUGAGAGACCUGAAUGUUGCUGUUCACUAACAUCUCAUCUAACAGAACAUAAGCAAUUUUACCAAGACGAAUGGGCAUGUAUAUCAACCAGGGGUGAAUACUUAUGCAACUUAAAAAUAACUGCAUUUUGUACCUUCAAAUGUCAGACAUAUUGAGUAAAUCAAAUUGUAAAAAUCCCAAUUAAGUCUAUUUCAAUUCCAGGUUGAAACACUACAAAAUAUAAAAUUCAAUGCAGUAAAUACUUAUGCAAAGCACUAUAUAGUUUGUCAAUGAAUGAAAACAUACACAUAAAUGCUUUACAUGCAGACAUUUGAAUAAUCGUCCACAUCCCUAUAUAUAACAUUUAUUUUUAUAUCCUGUAUUUGCUUCCUAGUAACCUCAGCCUAGCAUUAACAACCGUUAACUUGCGCAAAUAAUAAAAAAACUUUUACAUUUUUGAUAGUGAAAAGACUUCACAAGGCAGAUGUUUGGUUCUGAUUGGAAUAUUGUCAAAACAAAAGAAAAGAAAAAACUGCAUUCUCGAGAAUUCUUCUGAAGUUUAUGAAUUAAAGGGUUUUCCUAUGCUGCCACAGGUAAGAGGAAGAAUUUGGAAUUUUUCCAAUUAAGUAGUCCAGUUUUAGUCUUGUACAAGUUUUCUUCCUCUCACUCCCUCCUUUAUAAUAAAGGAAUGUUUCACAAAGGCUCUACUGAAUACUGACCUGAAGAGCUGAAAUCCGCAUGUCAUAAUGUCCCAUAAAAUUUCUGAGUCUUCUCAUUCGGAUGACUAUAUUUCAAGUAGUGUUUGAGUAGCCUAAAUGAUAAAUGUGUUGACCAAGAAUAAUAUUAAUCCUGUGACUAGGGAUGUGCCGAUAAUCAAUAAUAUGAUAAACCCCAGCAUUAAACACAGGCAAUCAAUGCAUUUCUAUCGCAAGGUGGCUACCAAGGUAGGCAGCAUUUGCGUACUCCCAACAUAAAGCCUGUCCCAUUCUUUGAUUUAAUGUGAGGGCAGCUUUGCAAAUACCUUUCAUGGUGUAGUCAAUCCCAUUAUUCUCUUCACCAGACCAGAUUUCCUUGAAUUUUUCAACAAGCUGUCUCUCCCUGACUGUGGAGCAAGUUUACAAAUUUUCAUGUCUGUGCUUGUAUUUCUGUUCAUAGAUUGUCAGAAAUCAUUUUGUAGUCAAAAUCAAUUAGCUAAUCUACUGCAAUUUCAAAGCUUAUUUAGUGACCAUAUUUAGCUAAUUUGCAAUUUAUCCUUAGUUAGCUACCUAUGUUAGUCUGCUAGGAAUAUUCUAGUUGCACUCAUCACCAGAAAAGCAGCUGCUGCUUGUUGGAGAUUGCUUGUUAGUUCAUCAGGUUUACAUAAAAUGCUACAAAACAAGGCAAAUAAUUUCAGUGUGUGUGGCUACUGUGGUAGAAACCUUCAGAACAGAAAACAGCAAAAAAAGUUUAAACAUAUUCCAGGAUAGCAUCAGUAACCCUGCUUUCCAUUUAAGAGUAUGUCUGCUCUCCAUAUUAGCCAUCAGUUUUCUCCCAAGAAUGUCCUGUUGUGUUCUAUGACAAAAAAACAAAACAGAACAAAAACAAAACAUGCCAGCCAAAGAGAAGGAUACAGGAAACAGUUUUUAUAUACAAUAUCAUGGUAAUAUCUGUAGACUGCCCUAAAAAAUCAAAAACUGAAUAUCGGCACAUUCCUAAUCAAGCCAAAUGGGUACCAUAGUAUAUACACUUGUCUUCCUUUAGUAGAUCAUUAAAUAGUGUACUGUAUAUUUGAUUAUUACGUAUCUGUGUCAAUAUGCUGAUAUUAUUUUAUAAAGUAACUGAUAUGUAAUGUAGUGCGUUCAUAGAUUACAAGGGAGUAGGAUUCACAAUAUUCUUUCUUUCAAUGCUGUUGUACAUUGAGGCAGUUUUUAUUAUUGCAUUUAACAAAUACUUCUCAAAUCUGUGCAGCGCGGCCUCCGGGCCCAAAUGUUCACAGAGGACUUGGGGAUUUCUCAACUGGUCACCUUUAUGCCCUUUUCUACUUGUUUUUACCCUACUACUUACUGCAAUCAUUACUGAUUCAUUCUAAAUGCAUGAUAAAAAUCCCUUUAAAUCCGUUUUGGUAAAUGCAAAACACAUCAACAAACCAAAAACGCAAAAACAAAUUCAGAAACACAGACAUCAACACAAAACGGCAAGGAAAGAUCAUUAUUGAACAUCAAGCUUGCUACUGAUUGGACACGGAGUAUGACGAUCACAAGGAUAACUCUUAUCUCAGCCUCCUAUUGUGAGGAGUAAUUCUUCUGAAAAACAAGGCUACUUUUAAGCUUUUAGUUAAUUAAUUAAUUUAUUCAUAUAUUUUUGUUUAUUUAAUUUUAGAAUUUGCAUACUAAUUUUAAUGCUGUGCAAAGUUGACAGCAUAUCAUACAUGUACACUUGGUAAAAGUAAGUAUGUAUAAAAACAUCAGUAGAUUCAUUUAGUCUAGCAUUUCCUGUAAAAAAAAAAAAAUCCAGCUGUUUUCUGCAGAGUCUUAGCAUGAUGUACACCAUAGCUAACCAGCAACAUGCAUGUGAUGUUCAAUAAGGACCUUCCCUUACGUUAUUGCUGAUGUGAUUUCUGAUUUGCUGUUAUGUUUGCUGAUUUGCUUUGUUAGUGUGUUUCAUAUUUACAGUCCACCAUAAUUUAGAGAUCAUGAAUAUUAACUCAGGACCCUGUCGAUCCCAAUCGUUCUGUGUCUUGGCACAUAUUUUGCAUUAAGAUGAAAUCUGACCCUGAUCCUUCAGCCUAAGUGCCAUUUUUAUAUCACUUGCCCCCACUGAGACUGUGUGUUGGCAGGUGUUUCAGCAUGUAUGUCCAAUUGCAAACCACCGCAAGAGCACAUCUCAUUACAUGAAUCUAUAGAAAUAUAAUUUGCACGUCAUAAUUUAGAAGCUUACUAUAUCCAGAUGAUCCAGUAAAUAAAGAAACCAGAGUCCUCUACUAAGUGAAUAACUGAGAUUAGUGUAAGCGCUCGACAUCCUAAUGAAGUCUGAAUCACAUCGAGCUGUCCUACUCACUGUGCUAAACUUAUUACAAAUGUACCUAAUAAACUGCUACAAAUUGGAAGACACCCUUGUUAUCAAUGCUAGAAGAUGAACAGAAGAAAGUUGUAUGAAAUCAAAACUGAAAAGCAGAAACCCGUCUCAGCCCUUCUAAAGGGAAUCUGAAAAUCUACACAAAUGGAAAAACAAAAACAAACAAACAAACAAACAAAAAAAAAAACACCCUGCACUACUAUCUAAACCUUAUAAUAUUUGGCAUGACAGACAUGAUGAGCAUGGUGCAAUGUACAUUCCCACUCACCAGUGGAAAUAUGGAACAACAACAACAACAACAACAUCAACAAAAAAGCACAUUGUUUCAAAGUCGCAAUUGGUCAAAAUCAUUCUGGAGUUUCUGCAGGAGUUGAUUGUUAAAAAUAUUGAUUAAAAAAAUGCAACAAAACAGGUAAGGAAUAGUAAGACUAAAACACAAGAAGAAAUUAAAUUAGAAAAAAAAUAGAGGAGAAAAAAAAAGCAGCUUUUACAAAAAGACAUAAGAAUGCAUAAAGUGACCCUUUUUUUCUUCUGUUCUGGCAGACGUGGCUGCUGAUCACAGAGAGCCUGUGUAACACUUGAAGAUUUUGCAUACGACGUUUAACUCCAGAUCUGUUUAAGAGAAAAAUAAGGCAUAGGUGUGAGUAUCUGAAUGCUGUGUUUUAAGGUUGUUUAACACACCCUUGUUGAUUUCCCAGAACCACUAAGACGUUGUUAAUCAACUACAUCAGCUGAGUGUCCACUUGCAGCACAAGGGAAGGUUUUUGUAGAGCAGAAACAACUGUGGCAGAAAUAUAAUUAUGGAAAAAUUAGUAACUAUACCCUAUAUACAUUGCAUAGAUUGUAGCUAAAGUGGGGUCCAAUGGUCUGAGACCACUAGUAAAAAUGCUCCUAUUUUGCAUUCGCUUUUUAAUUUAAUAUAAAAUUGUUCAUUAAAAAUUAUAUUAUCAGCAACAACUCCAGUAGAAUCUUACAAAUAUUUACAUG